CAAAAAACAUGNCCUUUGAAUUUAAUAUAAGGUCUGACCUNCCCNGUGAUCUUUUUAACGGCCGCGGUAUNCUNACCGUGCAANGGNAGCNUCNUCAUUAGUCUUUUAAUAGAGGGCNGGAAUGAAAGGUUUCACGAGGAACGGGCUGUCUCAUUUUAUUUGUUUUAAAAUUUAAUUUUUUAGUUAAAAAGCUAAAAUUUUAUUGGUAGACGAGAAGNCCCUAUAGNGCUCCACACUUAUUUAUUNGAAUGUUUUUAUAUAAUUAUUUUUAAUUAAAUUUGUNGGGGUGACAAAAAUAUAUNAAUAACNUUUUUAUUUAAUAACCAUUGAUUUAUGAAUAUUAGAUCCAUUCUUAUUGAUUAUUANACUAAGUUACCUUAGGNAUGACANCGAAAUCCUCCCCC
rnacentral:rRNA from 1 species